UACGUAGGCAGCGAGCGUUGUUCGGAGUUACUGGGCGUAAAGGGUGUGUAGGCGGUCUUCUAAGUUCGGUGUGAAAUCUCCCGGCUCAACUGGGAGGGUGCGCCGAAAACUGGAAGGCUUCGAGUGCGGGAUGGGAGAGUGGAAUUCCUGGUGUAGCGGUGAAAUGCGUAGAUAUCAGGAGGAACACCUGUGGUGUAGACGGCUCUCUGGACCGUAACUGACGCUGAGACACGAAAGCGUGGGUAGCAAA
rnacentral:rRNA from 1 species